CAUCACAAGAGAUGGUGUAGCACUCAUCGCUUUCCCCUCCUUCCGAGGCAUAGCUUACCUCUUGCUUGACUUGCACCUUCCCACUUUGUUGUUCUUAUUGUUCAUCUUCCAACCCUUUUUGUUUGGACAAUUCGCCUUGAAAUGCCCAAGCUCGCCACAUUUGAAACAAGACCUUUCCGCAAGAGGUCUAGAACUCGAUCUAGAUUUUUCUCCCUUGCCCUUUGGUCGCACAUUGCUUCUACCCCUUACAAACAAUCCUUGAGCUUGCUCCUUGUUACCAAUGGUAGACAUGCCACUAGUUGCAAUCUUUCGAAGAUCAUCCGCUAGAAGUGACGUUCUAGUGUCCUCCAUCACAAGUUUAUCACCCACAAGCAUCAAUGUUUGUACUAGGCUCUCGUAAGACUUUGGCAAUGAAAGAAGUAGUAGAAGUGCUUGAUCCUCAUCAUCUACAUCCACAUCAAUGUCCUUUAAGUCCGAUAUGAUCCUAUCAAACUUGUUGACGUACUCCCGGAUUGGUGUACCUUCAUCCAUCUUGCAAGUAUACAAUUUGGAUUUCAAGUAGAUCCGAUUUGUUAGAGUCUUCGUCAUGAAGUUCGCAUCCAACUUUGUCCACACCUUCGCCGCCAUUACCUCACUAUCAACCAAGAAAGCAACAUCUCUUUCAAGGCAAAGAAUGAUAGACGCUCGUGCCUCAAGAUCUAGCUCUUCCCAAUCCUCGUUCGACAUAUCAACGUGCUUCUUCUCCUUUCCCGUCAAUGCCUUGUGCAACUUUUGAGAAAUCAAUAAAUUUUUCAUUUGCAUUCUCCAAUAUGAAAAAUCAUUCUUCCCAUUGAAUUUCUCUAUCUCAUACUUCCCAAUCUUCACCAUUCCUCUAGUAGACAUGAUUUAUCCACUUGUUUACCGAAAAUAAAUCACCAAAGUUCACUUGGAAAUUUUCACAAACACCUUGUGCACAACAAAGUUCAAGCAACUCACCACAAAAUCGAAACUUAACCACCUUGAUUUAGGAUGUAGCUCUGAUACCAAAUUGUUGGGAAAACACCUCCUAAAGAUAGCCCAAGAUCAAACAAAGUUGACAAUGUGAAAAAUUUCCAGACCACUUCAAGAACAAGAAAAUGAGGAAGAAAUGAUUUCAAUGGAAUAUAUGAAGAUCAAUGUAUUUGGAUUAUUUGAACAAGCCUCAAGUUA
rnacentral:lncRNA from 1 species